GACGAACGCUGGCGGCGUGCUUAACACAUGCAAGUCGAACGGGCCUUGUCCCCUUUUUUUUGGGGGUGGGGUUAGUGGCGAACGGGUGAGUAACACGUGAGUAACCUGCCCCUCACUUCUGGAUAACCGCUUGAAGGGUGGCUAAUACGGGGUGUUCUGGCCUGCUCGCAUGGGUGGGUUUGGAAAGAUUCGACCGGUUUUGGUUGUUUUGGUGGGGGAUGGGCUCGCGGCCUAUCAGCUUGUUGGUGGGGUGAUGGCCUGCCAAGGCUUUGACGGGUAGCCGGCCUGAGAGGGUGGGCGGUCACACUGGGACUGAGACACGGCCCAGACUCCUACGGGAGGCAGCAGUGGGGAAUAUUGCACAAUGGGCGCAAGCCUGAUGCAGCGACGCCGCGUGAGGGAUGGAGGCCUUCGGGUUGUGAACCUCUUUCGCCAGUGAAGAAGGUCCUGCUCUUUGUGGUGGGGUUGACGGUAGCUGGGUUAAUGAAGCGCCGGCUAACUACGUG
rnacentral:rRNA from 1 species